CUCCUCCUCUCUCUUUUCUCUUGCUCCCUCCCUUGCUAUGCGACACAUCGGUUCCCCUUGCCUUUCACCAUGAAUUAAAGCUUCCUGAGGCCCUCACCAGAAGCCAAGCAGAUGCUUGCACCAUGACUUUUGUAUAACCUGCAGAACUAACAAAAACUGCCCUUUUCCGGAAGCCCUGCAAGCUGAAGCUGGACAACUUAAUCUAGACUUAAAGAGAACUCACCACCACAGCUUACGUAUGGACAACUUUUGUGCCUGUUGCUGUGAGCUGCUCAGACAUCACUGGAAACAUUCAAACUGCAAAAGAUGCUUCAAAGUCAGAUGGACCCACCGGGACCAGCAACUCUUCCGUGGCUCCCACCCAGAAGCCAACUGAGUGCACCAGGACCAGCUUCCACACCCCGAUGGUUGCAUCCCCAACCAAUCAGCAGUACCAAUUCCCUAGUCCUCUGUCUGCCAAACUAUCCUUGCAAAACCCUAGCUUCCACAUUUUCGAGGAGGAUGAUUUGAGUAAUAAUAAAACUCCCAUCUCCCCUUUAGCCAGUUCUCUGUGUAUUAAACUCCUUCUCUUUUGCCAUUCCCCUGUCUUGAAAAAUCUGCUCUCUCUGGGUAGUAGGCAAGAUGAACACAUUGAGCAGUUACCUAAUGAUAAGAAUGUUCAUAUCUGUGCUGCCCAAAGUGGUAGCCAGUAGCCACAUGUGGCUGCUGAGUACUUGAAAUAUGAACAGUGUGGCUGAAGAACUUAGAACUGAGUUUUUAAUUUAAUUGUAAUGGCUAAUGUUUGGGACAAUGAAGAUGGAGAUAGACAUUUGCAUCAUUCAUAAAAUUAAAUUCCUCCUCUAAACUAUUCAAAGCAUAGGCAG
rnacentral:lncRNA from 1 species